CCACUUAAUGCAUUCAAUGCAGUGAUCAGUUCUACUUUUCUAAUACAUAGAACCUACUUUGAGCUGCAUUCCCUCUAGUGGGAAUGGGUUAGUAUGGAGCCAUUUACAUUCAUUCAUGAGGUUUCCCCUGUGACCAAUAAAGACUGAGUGUUUUUCGCAUGAAGGGGUGUUGAAUUCUAUCAAAGGCCUUUUCUGCAUCUAUUGAGAUAAUCAUGUGGUUUUUGCCAUUGGUUCUGUUUAUGUGAUGGAUUACAUUUACCCUGCUGGGAGGUGUCUUCCCGUCAGGAGGCACAGGGGUCAGGGACCCACUU
rnacentral:lncRNA from 10 species